UACAGAGGUCUCAAGCGUUGUUCGGAUUCAUUGGGCGUAAAGGGUGCGUAGGCGGCGCGGUAAGUCGGGUGUGAAAUCUUGGAGCUUAACUCGGAAACUGCCAUUGAUACUAUCUGUCUUGAAUAUCCUGGAGGUGAGCGGAAUAUGUCAUGUAGCGGUGAAAUGCUUAGAUAUGACAUAGAACACCAAUUGCGAAGGCAGCUCACUACGGGGUUAUUGACACUGAGGCACGAAAGCGUGGGGAUCAAACAGG
rnacentral:rRNA from 1 species